AUUGGACCUUCAUACUUUUAUAUUUGUGUUAAUUAUAAUAAGUUUAUUUAUUUAUUUUUCAUAUAACGCAAUGGCUUAUGUAUAAGGAAAAGCCGAUAUAAUAUAUCAGUCGAUGGUCAUAAAUAAAACCUGUAUCCUUCACAUGGGUUUUUUCCUUCUCCAAUCCAAUCCAAUCGGGUACAGACUGUGUCUUUAAUGAACAUGAUCAAAGAUAAGUGAGAUCUAAGGCCAAUAGCGCAUAAGAUAGUGCCUACUGUAUUUAUUUGACAUUUACAUACCACAAAGAACAAUAUCAUUUUUGGCGUAUUUAUACUCUCCAACUAAUUCUGGUCGAAGAACAAUGGCUACUACAGCAGGAUCAAGAGCGUGCCAUCUAUCGCUUUUAGGAAGAGUUAUUCUUUCAUAUAAAUUCAGAGUCCUGACUAUGUCCGAGUCCAUUGCACCAAAUA